rnacentral:rRNA from 1 species
GAUGAACACUGGCGGCGUGCCUAAUACAUGCAAGUCGAGCGAACAGACGAGGAGCUUGCUCCUUCGACGUUAGCGGCGGACGGGUGAGUAACACGUAGGUAACCUACCUAUAAGACUGGGAUAACUUCGGGAAACCGGAGCUAAUACCGGAUAAUAUUUCGAACCGCAUGGUUCGAUAGUGAAAGAUGGCUUUGCUAUCACUUAUAGAUGGACCUGCGCCGUAUUAGCUAGUUGGUAAGGUAACGGCUUACCAAGGCAACGAUACGUAGCCGACCUGAGAGGGUGAUCGGCCACACUGGAACUGAGACACGGUCCAGACUCCUACGGGAGGCAGCAGUAGGGAAUCUUACGCAAUGGGCGAAAGCCUGACGGAGCAACGCCGCGUGAGUGAUGAAGGUCUUCGGAUCGUAAAACUCUGUUAUUAGGGAAGAACAAACGUGUAAGUAACUGUGCACGUCUUGACGGUACCUAAUCAGAAAGCCACGGCUAACUACGUG